rnacentral:rRNA from 1 species
AUGAACGCUAGCUACAGGCUUAACACAUGCAAGUCGAGGGGCAUCAGGAAGAAAGCUUGCUUUCUUUGCUGGCGACCGGCGCACGGGUGAGUAACACGUAUCCAACCUGCCCUUUACUCGGGGAUAGCCUUUCGAAAGAAAGAUUAAUACCCGAUGGCAUAAUGAUUCCGCAUGGUUUCAUUAUUAAAGGAUUCCGGUAAAGGAUGGGGAUGCGUUCCAUUAGGUUGUUGGUGAGGUAACGGCUCACCAAGCCUUCGAUGGAUAGGGGUUCUGAGAGGAAGGUCCCCCACAUUGGAACUGAGACACGGUCCAAACUCCUACGGGAGGCAGCAGUGAGGAAUAUUGGUCAAUGGGCGCUAGCCUGAACCAGCCAAGUAGCGUGAAGGAUGAAGGCUCUAUGGGUCGUAAACUUCUUUUAUAUAAGAAUAAAGUGCAGUAUGUAUACUGUUUUGUAUGUAUUAUAUGAAUAAGGAUCGGCUAACUCCGUGCCAGCAGCCGCGGUAAUACGGAGGAUCCGAGCGUUAUCCGGAUUUAUUGGGUUUAAAGGGAGCGUAGGUGGACUGGUAAGUCAGUUGUGAAAGUUUGCGGCUCAACCGUAAAAUUGCAGUUGAUACUGUCAGUCUUGAGUACAGUAGAGGUGGGCGGAAUUCGUGGUGUAGCGGUGAAAUGCUUAGAUAUCACGAAGAACUCCGAUUGCGAAGGCAGCUCACUGGACUGCAACUGACACUGAUGCUCGAAAGUGUGGGUAUCAAACAGGAUUAGAUACCCUGGUAGUCCACACAGUAAACGAUGAAUACUCGCUGUUUGCGAUAUACAGUAAGCGGCCAAGCGAAAGCAUUAAGUAUUCCACCUGGGGAGUACGCCGGCAACGGUGAAACUCAAAGGAAUUGACGGGGGCCCGCACAAGCGGAGGAACAUGUGGUUUAAUUCGAUGAUACGCGAGGAACCUUACCCGGGCUUAAAUUGCAGUGGAAUGAUGUGGAAACAUGUCAGUGAGCAAUCACCGCUGUGAAGGUGCUGCAUGGUUGUCGUCAGCUCGUGCCGUGAGGUGUCGGCUUAAGUGCCAUAACGAGCGCAACCCUUAUCUUUAGUUACUAACAGGUUAUGCUGAGGACUCUAGAGAGACUGCCGUCGUAAGAUGUGAGGAAGGUGGGGAUGACGUCAAAUCAGCACGGCCCUUACGUCCGGGGCUACACACGUGUUACAAUGGGGGGUACAGAAGGCAGCUAGCGGGUGACCGUAUGCUAAUCCCAAAAGCCUCUCUCAGUUCGGAUCGAAGUCUGCAACCCGACUUCGUGAAGCUGGAUUCGCUAGUAAUCGCGCAUCAGCCACGGCGCGGUGAAUACGUUCCCGGGCCUUGUACACACCGCCCGUCAAGCCAUGGGAGCCGGGGGUACCUGAAGUACGUAACCGCAAGGAUCGUCCUAGGGUAAAACUGGUGACUGG